rnacentral:rRNA from 1 species
GACGAACCGUGCGAACGUUGUUCGGAUUCACUGGGCUUAAAGGGCGCGUAGGCGGGCCAUCAAGUCAGGGGUGAAAUCUUUCGGCUCAACCGGAAAAGUGCCUUUGAUACUGGUGGUCUCGAGGGAGGUAGGGGCAUGCGGAACUUCCGGUGGAGCGGUGAAAUGCGUAGAUAUCAGGAGGAACACCGGUGGCGAAGGCGGGUCUCUGGGCCGAUACUGACGCUGAGGAGCGAAAGCGUGGGGAGCGAACAGG